CGCUGGUGGAACCGGCAUCCCUAAGCAAGCAACCGUCCAGAUGGCCGUCACGCUUCCGCCCAGCAGAGAGGAAGAAAGGAGCUGAUUGCAGGGCACUAAAAUAUUUCUACACUGCCAAAGCUCCGUGAUCACUUACACAGUUACACACGUAUAUUAUCCAUGUAGUAUGGGUUAUCUGGGAUCAAUUACAACAUGGCACUUGGAUAUUGUUCAUAAAGGUGGCAUAAUUUGUCAAUUUAAUAUACUUCCAUCUCACUGUUGAUUUACUCAUGCUAUUUUGAUGACGAUGACAUCAAUGCCAGUUCAUGGCUCUGCAAGGCA